AAAACAGGAGGAAAACACAAGUCCAUGAUUUGCCAUCAUAAAUUCCCACCGGGAGGAGAUCUUUUUGUUGCGAAGGUUGUCCCGGAAAGUUGCCAGCGAACAGAAGGAAUAAUGGCUUGGCAAAUUGGAAAAGACGAAGAAGAGGAAAAAAGACUGGAGAAG